rnacentral:rRNA from 1 species
AGUGAACGCUGGCGGUAGGCCUAACACAUGCAAGUCGAACGGCAGCACAGUAAGAGCUUGCUCUUACGGGUGGCGAGUGGCGGACGGGUGAGGAAUACAUCGGAAUCUACUUUUUCGUGGGGGAUAACGUAGGGAAACUUACGCUAAUACCGCAUACGACCUACGGGUGAAAGCAGGGGAUCUUCGGACCUUUCGCGAUUGAAUGAGCCGAUGUCGGAUUAGCUAGUUGGCGGGGUAAAGGCCCACCAAGGCGACGAUCCGUAGCUGGUCUGAGGAGAUGAUCAGCCACACUGGAACUGAGACACGGUCCAGACUCCUACGGGAGGCAACAGUGGGGAAUAUUGGCCAAUUGGGGGAAGCCUGAUCCAGCCAUACCGCGUGGGUGAAGAAGGCCUUCGGGUUGUAAAGCCCUUUUGUUGGGAAAGAAAAGCAGCAGGUUAAUACCCCGCUGUUCUGACGGUACCCAAAGAAUAAGCACCGGCUAACUUCGUG